UAACUACAUAAUAGUACGUGGUUACUGGCUUUUCGGCUGAUUUCGAAAAUCGACGUCACACAGUAUUGCUUCGGUUAUUACAUUCACAUUUCGUUUUUGCUUAUUUUCACAUCCACUAGUUUCUUUAGAUUUUCAAAACGAGUUUGUCAUAUCGAAAUGACAAGCAAAUGCCUUUUUCUAUAUCAAAUCGUAUCUUAUUUGCAAAAGGACGAAAAUAGUUAACUUAUUGGUUUAUUGGCGUUAAUUUCAGACCGCCAGAAGAUCAAUUAAGCAUGUAAUUAUUUUUAAAACAUUUAAGUUCUGAACCCCACCUUGAAUUCGCAAAUAAAAUUUUGCCGUCGAUAAUAACAAUUUACGUUUUGGUGAGCGAGCGAUAAAUCUGUCACCAUGAGAUAUCGAAAAAGUUUCUGUACUUUUGUUGGAAUUAGAAAACUAAAUAAAAAUUUAAAACAACAUUUAAAUUCUGAACCCCACCUUGAAUUCGCAAAUAAAAUUUUGCCGUCGAUAAUAACAAUUUUCGUUUUGGUGAGCGAGCGAUAAAUCUGUCCCCAUGAGUUAUCGCAAAAGUUUCUGUACUUUUGUUGAAAUUAGAAAACUAAAUAAAUUUGUUAAGUGUAAUGGGUGGCAUUAAUUUAUUUGAAGUUGUGAAAACAUGUUUUUUUUAUAAAUUAAUUUGUUUAAAUUAAUUACUUUAUUGCUAAAAGUGCAUAAAAAAGUAUUUAAAAUCAAUGGAAUCAAAUCGGUUAAAAAGGUGGUCCCUUUUUUUGUGGAAAACAGCUGAUUGCCGUUAAACUAUUUUUUUUUUUUUAAUAUAUGUAGUUAUAUUACUUUCAGGGGAUAGUAUUAAUCAAGUAUGUAGAAUAAAAUCUUUAUGUCAGUUCUAUCGAGGCAGGCAAUUGAAAAUACGAAAUGUUUUUUUUUCGCGUUGAUUACAUUGGACAAAACCAGCUUUCAGCUGUUUCAGCAGUAAGCAAUUCAAAUAACAAAACGAUGAACGAAAAGUAGUGAAAUCCGGAGCACCUAAAAACGAAAAGACGAUGUCCGAAAUUUUUUUUUCCCAAGGCAGCGUUAGGGCAAUACGUAAAUACAUGCCAUGUCAACCAGAUAGUUUCGUUUUAAUACAUAAUAGUUCAAAUAUAAAAUUGGGAAUAUGCCAAGAAAAAUGGUUCCAAAAUUGUCUCGCCAGUUCCAGGUUGCCGGGGUGAGCGUCGUUAUCGGGACUCUAUGAAGAUUGUGCUGUGGAGGUGUUACUCUCCCAAUGCGCUUGACUUGUGGCAAUUAGAAGUUAUAACGUUUUUUGCGCAGAUGGCCGGAGAAAUUAUAUUUUCAAGACUUUGCUUGCGUUAAUCAAAUAUAAAACUAAAAACUCAAAGUAUUAGGAAUUACAGCUAAAGCUAAGCAUGACCAGUGGAAAAGUAGAGGCAACGGUUCUUCCUAUAAAUCAGUUGAUGCUCUCUCAGCAAAAUAUGUCCCAAAUGCAUUGCCACAUACGAUUGUUGCAUUCGCGUGGAUCCCUAUAUGACUUCGUCCUGCGAGAGUGCAAGGGUAGUUAGAUGUUUACUAGCGAGUGACGCUUGUUAACUUGUAUGUUUUUAUACCCGCUACCCAUAGGGUAGAAGGGUAUUAUAACUUUGUCCCGACAAGAAAUGUAUGUAACAGGUAGAAGGAGGCAUCUCCGACCCUAUAAAGUAUAUAUAUUCUUGAUCAGCGUCAACAGCCGGGACGAUCCAGCCAUGUCCGUCUGUCUGUCUGUCCGUCCGUCCGAAUGAACACCUAGAUCUCAGAGUCUAUAAGAGUAUAGAGCUAUACUUUUUCGACAGCAUUUGUUAUGUUUGCACGCAGAUCAAGUUUGUUUCAAAAUUUUUCCACGCCCCUUUCCGCCCCCGCAAAUCAAAAAAAUCGAAUAACAAGCGUAAUAUUAUAGCUAGAGCUUCGAAUUUUGGUAAAUACAAUAAUAACUAUAGUAUUCAUUAGAGGUGGAGAACUAUCGAUAGUCUGCGCCAUGAUAGUGAUUGAUAGUUUCCAUAAACUAUCAACUAUCGACGAUAUCAUGGAAAAUCUAUCGUCGAUAGCUGUCGAUAGUGCAGUAAAAGAAAAUAAUUUAAUUAGUUUUUAAAAUAAUACAUAUUUGUUUAAAGUAUAAGAUUAUGAAAUUGGUCCUCCAAUCUUUAUCUAAAAAUAAUAAAUAAUUAUUAUUCAAAUAAUAUGAAUUUUUUUAGGUUAGGUAGAAGUUAAGGUACUUCUAUUUAUAUAUUUAUUUCAACUAAUAAUUUUGUACACCUAUUUGAAAUGAUUUGUCCUGCUUUGCCGAAGACCCUCCCGACUCUACGGAGAGCGUGUCGAUAGUGGCCAACCAUCGAUAGUCCCGAUAGUGCCAUCGAUGAUUCUCAUCCUCUAGUAUUUAUGAGUCCUAAGAAUUUGAUUGCGAUCAGAUAAAAAUUGUGGAAGGUAUUAAAGAAAUACUUUUGUAUGGACAAAAACGCCUACUUACUAGGGGUCUUAGUUGCUUUGGCCAACAAUCUGGUACAUUGUGCCGUCUAUGGUAUAUUUUGAAUGUGGCACUAUAUUGAUAUACCAAAUAUACCAUUCGGUAUAUUUUUGUAUUUUGUAGUAUUUUCGGUAUAUUUUUAAAAUAAUACCGCAAUAUUUUGCUUUUAUUCAAAAUGGGUAGCGGGUAUCUCACAGUAAAUUAAUAAUGAUUUUGAGAAAAAAGAGCGAAAUUAGACCUUGAACCUCGGACUGACAUGUCAGCAAUUGCUUUACUGGUCUGUACAGCAUUUACGGUCAUAGCAUGAGUCGAAAUUUAAUUAGCUACUGGCAAUUUACGGGUCUUCACAUUUGAAAUACGUUAGCUUGUUUAGUAAUUUGUAACAACUUUGCUUUGCUCGGGUUAACUCCUAAUCCUGUGGAUAUUUUAUACCCGCCUCCCGUAAGGUGUCGUAACUUUCUGCUUGCAGGAAAUGUAUUUAACAGGGAGAAGGAGGCAUAUACGGCCGAUAAAAAAAAUAUGAUCAUGACCAGCGUAAACUGCUGAGACGAUAGAGAUAUAAUGUUUUUUUGACAUCACUUGUUUAUAUUUGAAUGUAGAUCAAGUUUCUUUUGAAUUUUUGACCCGCACACUUCGGCUCUCGCAAUUCGAAAAAAAAAUCACGUCAGACCGAAAUUGCCAUUCGCAUACCAUUCAUACAUAGAUGCAUACAUACAACCGUAAGCACAGCAGUGAAUACCUCCGUAUUUUAAUGUAAUUAUUAAUUCAUUACUUCAGAGCAUAUUCAAAAAAAUAAACUUUUGAGUAAUUACAUUGUCUUUUAUCAAU